rnacentral:rRNA from 1 species
UACAGAGGGUGCAAGCGUUGUUCGGAAUUACUGGGCGUAAAGCGCGUGUAGGUGGCUAGAUAAGUCGGGUGUGAAAUCCCUUGGCUUAACCAAGGAAGUGCAUUCGAUACUGUUUCGCUUGAGUAUCGGAGGGGUCGGCGGAAUUCCCGGUGUAGAGGUGAAAUUCGUAGAUAUCGGGAGGAACACCUGUGGCGAAGGCGGCCGACUGGACGAUCACUGACACUGAGACGCGAAAGCGUGGGUAGCAAACAGG